ACUUUUAGAAUCGAUUAUUUAAGAAUUGAUUUUGUAUACUACAUACAAAAUCAAUUCUUAAAUAACCAAUUUUAAAAGU
rnacentral:miRNA from 1 species